UAGCUCUCUAUUUAAUGGGAUUGUUUGCUAUCAUCAUGGAGAAGUACAAUGACCAACCUUUUAAAGUUGGGCAACUGGUUGAGGCAAGAUCCUUCAUGAAGGGUUAUCGAGGCGCGUGGUUUCGUUGCAAGAUAGUAGAUACAAAAAGGAGAGAUGGGCACAUCAAUUAUGGAUUGCGUUAUCUUGAUUUUCCAGAUGAAAAGGAUAAACCGAUAAGAUUAUAUCAACUACCUCCAGUUGGACAUAAGAGAAGAAGUGGGGUUGAAAGAGAGUUGAUGCUGCGGCCUCCAUUUCCACCUAUCUACCAUGAGGGUCAAUUGCCUCCUGCCAAUGAAACUUCAGAAGUCAUAGUUAUUACUGAAGCUAUUUGGAAUGUGGGUGAUCUUGUCGAUUGGUGGAAGGAUCAAUGUUUUUGGUCUGGAAAAGUUACACAAAUACUAGGCAAUGAAGAAGCCAUGGUCGAGUUGACCCCACCGCCUAUGGGUGAAGGCUCCUCAUAUAAAGCGUCUCUGAUUGAUCUACGCCCAUCUUUAGCUUGGUCACUGGAAGAUGGUUGGAAAUUGCCUGCUCCUAAGGAUGGUGCAAACCAUCGUCAAUGUGCACGACUUGUUGAUCCAGUGAAUCAGUCAGAUGGUAGGUUGGCAUUUGAAAUGCCUGUACAGGGUGAAGGAACAACAGAUGGUGAGGUUGCAUGUGGGUUAUCAUCUGCUCAAUCUCUUUCUUCUCAUGGUGCCGCAAAGUCAUUGCCAGCCUCAGAAAAGAUGAAGACCUGUGGGGCAAGUGAGAUGCUGAAAGAAUCUGAGAGUUUUCCAAAGGAGGUGGUGGGCGCACAAGAAGAAAAUGUGAACUUGGUACCUGGGGAUAAUGGCUCUAGGAAAUUAAGUUGUUCAGAUGGUACUUAUCCUCAUGCUAGAGAUGGUUCAGCUGAAGCUGCAGGUCUAUCUCUUGGAGAAGACUUGUCUGAUUCUAGUUCUCCACAGAAGAAGCUGAGAAACAGUAUUGGGCUUCCUUUAAACUCCGCCAGGUCUGACACCCUAGAUGCUCUAAUUUUGGAUUUGGAAGAGCUUGCAAACAAAAUUAAAUGGCUCAAAAUCAUCUUAAAAAGAGGAUACCCUUUGUCCAAUGCUGUGGACACUUCAUGGAUGUUUGUUGAGCACCGUGUGCCUUCAAUGCCUUGGUGACUUCUUGAUAAGGAAGCGUGGUGUGUCUGUCUUGUUUAUGUGCUCGAUUGCAUCAAGGAUCCUUGUUGAUGGAUAGCAGAUGGCCUAAUAAAUAAAUAGGAUGUUGGCAGACUCUCGUUGUCCUUUCCUAGUGAGCAAAAUGGUGCGUCCAGAGUUUCCCUGUUGAUGGCUUGUUAUUUGUGCUUCACAUCAGCUUGUCAAAUCUCUCCUGUUAUCAGCUUUAGUUUUCUGAGUUUAAUGCUUCCACUUACUGCUUUUAAACCUUUGUACUAAACCUCCCAGCGCCUUCAUUUGAAGACGAUCGAAGAUGAUAUCAACAUCCUAGAUGUUUACCAUAGUUGCAAGUCUCUUUCCUUCAGGUGUUGGUUCCCGCCGCUCUCCUGCCUCAAUUUGCAAGUACCAAAUGAAAAUUAUUGCAGCAAUGGAGCCUGCUAUGCUCCUUUUAGAAAGAACGGUAAAAGCAUGGGGGAAAAAGAUGGUUCUUCGUUUUGCUGGUUGGAGUUAGUUGUGUGAAAGUGCAAAAAGUAUCUUUUUCUACAUUCUGGUUGGUGUAAUUAGUAUCUUAAAAGUGCCGUGGUACUUGUUUAACUGCAGGUCCAGUAACGAUUACAAGAAGCUGAGAUUAUGUAUAAGAAUAGAAUCCUUAUGAAUUGCAACUACACAGGCUUUGAUUAAACUAGGAAGUUAGGCCUCAAAAUGAUCAUACAAGUAAAAAAGUUAUGUAGUCGGUUGUAAAUAAUUCUCUGUUCAGAAAAUGAAGAGUCUCUCUUCCGUCUUACUAUUCA